GAGACAGUUCGGUCCCUAUCCGUCGCGGGCGCAGGAAAUUUGAGAGGAGCUGUCCUUAGUACGAGAGGACCGGAGUGGACGCACCGCUGGUGUACCGGUUGUCAUGCCAAUGGCACUGCCCGGUAGCUAAAUGCGGAAGAGAUAAGUGCUGAAAGCAUCUAAGCACGAAACUUGCCCCGAGAUGAGUUCUCCCUGACUCCUUGAGAGUCCUGAAGGAACGUUGAAGACGACGACGUUGAUAGGUCGGGUGUGGAAGCGCAGUAAUGCGUUAAGCUAACCGAUACUAAUUGCUCGUGAGGCUUGAUCCUAUAACACUGAUGGUUAUG
rnacentral:rRNA from 1 species